rnacentral:rRNA from 1 species
CCUACGGGAGACAGCAGUGAGGAAUAUUGGUCAAUGGACGAGAGUCUGAACCAGCCAAGUAGCGUGAAGGAUGACUGCCCUAUGGGUUGUAAACUUCUUUUAUAUGGGAAUAAAAUGUUCCACGUGUGGGAUUUUGUAUGUACCAUAUGAAUAAGGCUCGGCUAACUCCGUGCCAGCAGCCGCGGUAAUACGGAGGAUCCGAGCGUUAUCCGGAUUUAUUGGGUUUAAAGGGAGCGUAGGUGGAUUGUUAAGUCAGUUGUGAAAGUUUGCGGCUCAACCGUAAAAUUGCAGUUGAAACUGGCAGUCUUGAGUACAGUAGAGGUGGGCGGAAUUCGUGGUGUAGCGGUGAAAUGCUUAGAUAUCACGAAGAACUCCGAUUGCGAAGGCAGUUCACUGGACUGCAACUGACACUGAGGCUCGAAAGUGUGGGUAUCAAACAGGAUUAGAUACCCCUGUAGUC